GCGUGGCCGCGUGGGCUCCUUGUGGCCCUCAGGUUUCCCGAAUUCGUGUCCCAUCAGCGGCGCGGGCGGAGAAGACAGGGAGAGGAAGGGCGGAGAUGUCGAGGCUGCUCCAGUUAUUGUUGCUGCUGUACUCCGAUAAAAUCUGGCGAGCUUCGCGUUGUGCGCAUAUUCCAUUUUUGUCUUCGAUCUUCCCAGAUCCAGCUUUCCUUGGGAGAACUUGCCAUGGCUCUUCAAUUGUUCCGUGGUGAUCUCUUGAUCCCGUGUCCUCCUUACCAUUCUACAUCUUCGGUGCCCUGGGCGCAAGCUUUUUUGUUCUUUAAAGUUCGUUUACUGGAUCUGUAAUUCUGUUCGCAAUCAAACGCCACUCUUGAGCGCUUGUUUGAUUUUUUUUUUUUAUGGGUCGGUGAUGGUUAUAGAAGCAGCGGGCGAAGCUUCGCUAACUUUUACUCUGAUGCACUAAAUUAUGUGUCCAGUUGUAGAGAGACUAGUGUUGGUUGCGAUUGACUGACUUAACUGUCAUGGAAUGGAGAGAGUCAGAGAAAUCCAGAACGAUCCAAGCUAAAAUUUUAUGCAUCCUGUGGCGAAAGGAUUAAAAAAGAUGAAGCUUUUGAUUUCUUUGCUUCAAUUUCCGACCCCAUUAUACAGUUGGAGCAUUCUCAGUGGCAUAAUGGAGAAAAGUAUGCACCAUGUGGGGAGAAAAUGAGCUUGCUUUUGACUAGGCUUUCAAUAAUCUGGUUUAUGUUGCUUUCCUUAAUCAGUAGUUUUUCAUCCAGACUAUUUAGGAUCGUCACUUGCUGUGAAAGCUACAAUAGAAGUUUCUGGAGUAAAAUCUCCUAACCCUUAUUUGCUUUGUUAAGGAUGAAUACCUGUUUGGAAUUUGGAUUAUGGAAUUCCAUAGCAUCUAAUGAGAAAGGAUCAUCUGGUGCUCGUAUGUCGAUUCCAAAAGCGGAUCUUUCUCAUGAGAAGCCUACUUCCCCCCUUACUUCAAAUGUUAUUUCAAAAUCUUUAUUUUGGAAAGUUCCAGUUGAUCGACAGAGAUUCAUCUCCAGUAUAGGGUUUCAAAAACAACCAUUACAUGUGAUGGCUUCACAGAAUACAUCAGUGGCUACUAGUGCUGACACAUCUGAUAAGAAUUCAAGUGGGCCACUGCAGAAAAAUGUUCAGCAGUCAACAUUUCCCAUUGCAUUCCAGGCACUUGUUGAGGAUGUUUGUGAGCAGACUCAAAUUGCAGAACUGAAACUCAAGAUUGGUGAUUUUGAAAUGUUCCUGAAAAGAGAUAUAGGGAUUUCAUCUGCUCCAAGUCCAGUUUAUGCUCCUGUUGAAUCUUCAAUUACAGCACCGCCAAUCCUGAGUGAGCCAAUGGAGGAAACAGCUACUUCUCCCACUCCUUUCCUGGAACAGGUCUCUACUGAAGAAACUUCUAGCCCAUUUGUCAACAUUUCUGCAGCAAAGACAUUAAAGCUGGCAUCUUUGGAAGCUUCUGGUCACGAUGCAUUUGUUAUUGUAGCAUCGCCAUUGGUAGGUACAUUUCAGAGAGGAAGAACAAUAAAAGGCAAAAGAUUGCCUCCUAGCUGCAAAGAGGGGGCCGUUAUCAAAGAGGGGCAAAUCAUUGGCUUCUUGGGCCAAUGUGGAAAUGAACUUCCUAUCAGAGUGUGUUUUCUUAGUCAAAUUCUUUCUUAUCUUUUUCAUCUUGAACUUCAUUGUUUAGUGCGUAAACAAAUUCCUGUUAGAUUGAGUUUUCUUUUCUCAGUUAUUCUGAUACUUUUGUCUUUUACCAAAUUUCCAUGCUAAAAAAAUUACUUGUUUCCAUAUAUACUGCUAAGAUUCUUAUUAGAAUUGCUUUACAAUGUAUCUCAGCUACCAUUAUUUUCCCUUGCAGUCGGAUGUAGAUGGAGAAGUAUUAAAGAUUCUCUACGAAGAUGGAGAAGCUGUUGGGUAUGGCGAUCCACUUGUUGCUGUUCUGCCUUCAUUCCACGCUAUAAACUGAGUUUAUCGUUACUUCUCGCCGCGGUUCUGAUCUCCAGUGAUUCAAAUAUACGCGAUGAAUGCUGAUGAGGUUCAUCUGUUGAAUUUUACCUUUGAAUUUAAAUUGAUUGAGGAACUGAACAUUUCAAAUUUGCUUUAUUUUUGGUGUAAAAGUAAAUGUGUGAGGAGUGGUUAAGGAAAAACUGUGCUUUGUUUUAAACAUAGGGACCACUAAAUCAUUGAGUAAAUGAUUUUCCUUGGAA